rnacentral:rRNA from 1 species
AGUGAACGCUGGCGGUAGGCCUAACACAUGCAAGUCGAACGGCAGCACAGUAAGAGCUUGCUCUUACGGGUGGCGAGUGGCGGACGGGUGAGGAAUACAUCGGAAUCUACUUUUUCGUGGGGGAUAACGUAGGGAAACUUACGCUAAUACCGCAUACGACCUACGGGUGAAAGCAGGAGAUCUUCGGACCUUGCGCGAUUGAAUGAGCCGAUGUCGGAUUAGCUAGUUGGCGGGGUAAAGGCCCACCAAGGCGACGAUCCGUAGCUGGUCUGAGAGGAUGAUCAGCCACACUGGAACUGAGACACGGUCCAGACUCCUACGGGAGGCAGCAGUGGGGAAUAUUGGACAAUGGGCGCAAGCCUGAUCCAGCCAUACCGCGUGGGUGAAGAAGGCCUUCGGGUUGUAAAGCCCUUUUGUUGGGAAAGAAAAGCAGCAGGCUAAUACCCCGCUGUUCUUACGGUACCCAAAGAAUAAGCACCGGCUAACUUCGUG